rnacentral:rRNA from 1 species
GCAAGUCGAACGGUUUAGGGACAAGGGGCUUGCCUCUUGGGACUAGACAGUGGCGGACGGGUGAGUAACACGUAGGCAACCUACCUGUCAAACCGGGAUAACCUCGGGAAACCGAAGCUAAACCCGGAUAAGCUCCUUUUUCGCAUGAAGGGGGAGUGAAAAGGUGCGACCUGAUGACAGAUGGGCCUGCGGCGCAUUAGCUAGUAGGUAGGGUAACGGCCUACCUAGGCGAUGAUGCGUAGCCGACCUGAGAGGGCGUAC